rnacentral:rRNA from 1 species
CCCUUAGAUGUUCUGGGCCGCACGCGCGCUACACUGUUCGACGCAGCGAGUCUUAACCUUGACCGAAAGGUUUGGGUAAUCUUCAGCAAAGUCGAACGUGAUGGGGAUCGAUCAUUGCAAUUAUUGAUCGUGAACGAGGAAUUCCUAGUAAGUGCAAGUCAUCAGCUUGCGCUGAUUACGUCCCUGCCCUUUGUACACACCGCCCGUCGCUCCUACCGAUUGAGCGAUCCGGUGAAUGUUUUGGACUGGCGUCAGAAGCGGUUCGCUCCUGACACUACGAAAUUUUGUAAACCUUAUCGCUUAGAGGAAGGAAAAGUCGUAACA